rnacentral:lncRNA from 1 species
UUGACGUAUGGGUCAACAAUCAUCUCCAUGUGUUAUCCUGCGGCCCAGCAGCACUGGUCUCUACAGAGAUCUCUCUACAGUGUUUCUCAAAUUCUAUUAUUUUUCUUUAAAACCUGUCACUGUGCAAGGGAGGUCAUCUUCCAGACAAGUCUAUCAGCAGGAACAUUGGGGUCCAAUGAGAAUCCGACAGAGAAGCAGUCAUGGCAUGCAAGCAGCAAGCUGAGAAGUUCUUCAGUUAAGUGUA